AGGGUUGUGGCUCAGUGGUGGAGCACUUGCCUAGCAUGCAUGAGGCACUGGGUUCCAUUCUCAGCACCACAU
rnacentral:tRNA from 1 species